rnacentral:rRNA from 1 species
UACGUAGGGUCCCGAGCGUUGUCCGGAAUUAUUGGGCGUAAAGGGCUCGUAGGCGGUUCGUCACGUCGGGAGUGAAAACUCGGAGCUUAACUCCGAGCCUGCUUCCGAUACGGGCAGACUAGAGGUAGGCAGGGGAGAGCGGAACUCCUGGUGUAGCGGUGGAAUGCGCAGAUAUCAGGAGGAACACCGGUGGCGAAGGCGGUUCUCUGGGCCGUAACUGACGCUGAGGAGCGAAAGCGUGGGGAGCGAACAGG